UACGUAGGGUGCAAGCGUUAAUCGGAAUUACUGGGCGUAAAGCGUGCGCAGGCGGUUCUUUAAGACAGAUGUGAAAUCCCCGGGCUCAACCUGGGAACUGCAUUUGUGACUGUAGAGCUGGAGUGCGGCAGAGGGGGAUGGAAUUCCGCGUGUAGCAGUGAAAUGCGUAGAUAUGCGGAGGAACACCGAUGGCGAAGGCAGCAUCCUGGGAAGUUCCUGACGCUCGGGUGCGAAAGCCAGGGGAGCGAACGGG
rnacentral:rRNA from 1 species